CGGGGUUGUCAGCCGAGUUGAAUCGGACAUGGGCAGUUCCGCUCUCUCUCUAUAUAUAUAAUUAACCGACUAGUGUAUUUCCCAUCUUCAUCUCAUCUGUGUUUGUAUCGCCGCCUGCAGAAUACGAAGAAAACUUACUUGUUAAUCACAAUACGAAGAAAACUUUCUUGUUAAUCACAACAAUGUCAGCUCCAUUGAGAACAAUGGUUCCCCAAAUUAGGUGUUUAGGUGCAAAGUUCAUUUCAGUAAGGAACUUCUCUGCAGAGGGUGAAGGAGUCAAGGAGGUUUCUGAAAACGUAUAUAAAAAGGCAGGUGCAAAUAUUGCGAAAAUGGCAGCUGGUGGAGUUGUGGGAGUGACUUUAGCUACUUGGUUGCAGUACAAAGCCCAUGGCAAAGCAACAAGCCGCAUCUUGGGAUUUACGAUUGGCAAAUAAGCUUGAGGGAUGGUGAUCUUAGGUUUUUGUUGAUGCUCUAUAUAUUUCUUAAGUAACACUCCACUUUGUCUUCUCCGUUAAGAAGAAACCUAACUUUUGUGUUGUUUGAAUGAAUCUAUUAUCCAUCUGUGUGAUUAACAUGCGAUAUUAGCUCUUUGAAUGACUCUGUUGCCUUCUUA